UACUUAAAGUUUGUAAAACCAGAAAUAAAUUGUAUGUUAACAACUCUUAACUCUUUCUUUUCAUCUUUACAGUUCACCUGCUUUGUCACUAACUUUUUUUUUUUUUAAGAUGGCCUAGUUGCUUUAAAAUCAGUUGUGAAAUACUAAUCUGGUAACACCACUGCUCAACAUGGGAUCCUGUAAUUGUUAAACUUCUGCGUGUUAAAACAGCAGGAUUAAAACUUCAGUCUUUUAGGUCAGAGUAUGGGGGAAAGUUACCGGAGUUCAAAUACAUUAAAUCAGAAUUUUAGGACAUAAGUGUUCGACAUGUUAUCGUUCUUGCCAUUUCAUUUUAAGAUGAAGCGUGGCUAGCGUGGUUCUUCAUAACAUAAUUCUGAGGUCCUUGUCUUCAUCAGUCAGGAUAAUGCUUUAAAACAGUAUUUAUCAGUGUGCAGCAGCAGCGAAUUAAAAGCUUGUGUGAAGAUAGUGGAAGGCUUCGGUACGGAAACACUGUUCAUGAAAUCCAGUGGUAAUAAAACCCGGGAGCAACUGUAAAAGUUAGGCUUACAACAGCAAAAAAGACCAUCUUUACAGAGCGGGUAGUCAGCUUCUGGAAGUUGUUGUCAGGGCAGGUUUUCCUGGCUAGUGUCAGGAGAGUCAAAAGGAUGGGAUGCAUUCAUGGAUUAGUAACACCUGCUAAAGGGAAUAGAUAGGAAUAUGUAUUUUAGGAUCUUUAACACAGUGAUUGUGUGUAAUGUUAGUACAAGGAAAAUGAGGCCCAAAGUGAGCAGGUUCACAUGUUCUCCCUAAAAGUCUGCUGCUGCUGGAAGCAAACUGUUGGGCAAGAAGGAUCAAGGGUGUCUCUUCCUCAUCUUGCUUGAGUGGUGGUGUCUCCAUGCACCUUUGGGAACUCAGAAGCCGAGGUGUAAACUGACAGGGAGUGUCUUAUUAUAGAGGUGGAGCUUUCUGUUUUAGUGUGCUCUCUCCAAUCCAGGAUCCAGAGGUUUUUCCCCUAGAAUAUUCUUUGAGGAUCCUUAGAUGUUUCAGCUGGAAGAAGAAAAAGUUAAUAGUUGAUGAGACAAUAAUUUUAAGCCGGUAUUUCUGAAAUCUCACUACCAGUUACAGCCUGAAGCCAAAUGCAUGGAUUAUGUAUCUUUUAGAUACACAACUAAAUGUCUUUGCUCAAAAAUUCAUUGAUCUUCCACAGAUAUGCUGUCCGAAGAACAAGCAUGUGAAUUUGAGGGGAACAUUUCUUCGUUUAUGGGGAUUCUUUCAAGUGUUACAACAAUUCUAAGCACAAAUCUGAGGGGAAAAAUGGAAUGGAAAAUGUAACCUAUAUAAAUGACCUAAAUAAAAUAUAU